GGCUCAGUGGUAGAGUGCUUGCCUUGCAUGCAUGAGACCCUGGGUUCGAUUCCUCAG
rnacentral:tRNA from 1 species